rnacentral:lncRNA from 10 species
GAUGGCGCCACACAGGAUGCACUCUUUUCAUCACUCGGCAUAAUGUUUUUGAGAUGAUCCAUUUUAUCUCAUGUUUCCGUAAUGUGUCCCAUUUUAUUGCUGGGUAGUUCGGGUAGUUGGGGUAGAUCGCAGCACAUUCUGCCGACAGGUGAGACUGCGAUUCCGACCUACGGGCCUUGGUUAAUAUAAGCAAGGGCACCUGGGCGCGGGGAGAGCCGUUCCCCUACAGAAAGCAAGCGUGUUGUGUCUACAACGGAACGGGGACACUGCUCUCAUCCCAAAGAACAGCACCCGUCUGCGUAGAGUUUCUACCUGGCUCUAGGAGGUGAGAACACAUUCCCUGCUAGCACAGAAAUCCUACAAACUACUGCGGGGGCUGCGGUUAGAAGCAGAGGCUGUGUGAAGGGUGACUCUGGAGGCUACGAAAAAACACGAAGGUUUUCACAGAGAACCCAAGAGACUGGAGACCAUGAAGCAAAGUCUGCAAAAAGCAGCCCCACAUAGAAAGGUUGGGGAAGAGCCCUGCGGCCACUUAGUUUGUGUUAAAUAAGCUCACGACAGCGGCGGAGAGGACCGUAACGCGAUACUUUCUGUUUCUCACGCUUGAGACAGUAAGGACGACACUUAACAUGCCGUCAAAGCUACAAACCCAUAGAAACUAAGAGUAGCCCUUCGCGUAGAGCUCACGUUUUGCACUGCAGUAUCUCAGCGGAAUUCACUAACGCAGCCCCCCCCACUACCACAAAUUAUGCAGUGGAAUUUCCUACAUUUAGGAAAAUCGCAAGAAUCAGUACACACAAUAGAAAAAACCUCACUCUGGAAAAACGAUCUUCACAAUACUAUCUUCCCUCCCAGGUAACUACGGAUUUGCACACCUCCGCCCCGCCACAGCUCCAUACGCCUCAACCUUUACACGCACGGUCACUUGCCCCGCGCGUCCCCGAGCCCUCCUAGCCCUGACACACAGCUGGGACUCUGAGGUCCGACCAGCUGUCCUGGACUCGCUCCCACAGCACGGAACUCCUUCGUGGCGAAGCAGCAGGUGGAGAAGCAGCGGCCCCUGCGCUGCCUCAUCUACAUAGAAGUCGCCCUAUCCGUGAUGUCACCGACAGCGCCUUUCCCGUCUCCGUCAACUUUCCCGCCCCAUCUUCCGCCACUCAGCCGACUAACAUGCUACCAGAGCCUGUCCACCCUUCUUCAAAUAAUGGUGGCCACAGAGUGCAUCUGCUCUGGGGGACCCAUCGCUCAUAUACCCUCCCAUAAGAGCAGGAAAGGGGAUUCAUAAAGACGUUCUUCUGAUGGGGAAUGCUCUACGAGGCCGCCUUCACAUGGUGAGUAGUGACCGUGACACCUCUGCAGCGUCCCUGGUCACUUGUAGCCCCUGAAAGGGUCAUCGGGAGCAGAUCACUUCUUUUCUUCAGGGCUGGAGAAAGUACCUCCGUGCAUUUUCCAGAGAAAGCACCUCUUCAAAGACACACACCGGAGACUGUCUCUUCCUGGACUGCAAACUGAUCUCACCAAUCAAAUUCUUACUACUAUGUAGCCACCCUGGAGGCCUUUGAGAGGACAGUCAGAUGGUCAGAGAUGAGUCGCUCUGCAUUCUGCUCCCUGGGCCAAAAACGUCGACCUAGAAGGAAGGGGCUUAAGCACAAACAUGAUUUAAAAAGUUUGUUUGAGCCAAUGUGAGGACACUUGCCUGGAAGACUCAGAUCCAAGCAAUCUUGGAUGUGGGCUCCAUUUGCCCUUUGUUACAAGCAGGUUUCUAAAGACCAAAAAGGGAGACGGGGAGUUGGCUGGUACAAAAUUGCCUGUCAGGAACUCCCUGAAGUUUACAGAAAUAACAUUGAUUAAUGAUUAGCUAUACAUUGUUCAGCUACAGGGAGUGAGAGAUGGUGUCCAGUGCAGCAUGUUUAGGUUGCUUUAUAGCCACUUGUGAUGAUAGCAAGCUGUUUUAAUAGAUGAAUACACGGCUUCAAAACAGGGACAUAAGACGUUGUUGCUGUCUCAUUUUAAUGCCUAACUCUGGGCUUGUUAAUUUGAAAGCACUCACUUUCCUCACAUAAAAUUUCUUUUCUUUCCUCAGACAUUUGAAUUCUUUAUAGUUUAGGAAUAUUUUGAAUAAAUAUGUAUUUGUUUUACAUGUCUUUGGUAAACCAUAUUCACGUUUCUCUAGAAAUAGAAAUUCCAAUAGAAAUAUAAUGCCAGGCAUAUACGUACUUUUAAAUGUAUUAGUAGACAUGUUUUAAAAAGUAAAAAGAAAGAGGUGAAAUUAUUUUUUAUAAUAUAUAUUCAACUAAAUAUAUUUAAGGUAUUAUCAUUACCCCAUGUGACACUAGCAAGAUUUCAAGUGUUCAAUAGCUACCCGUGGUUUGUGGCUAUCAUAUUGGAAAGCACAAGUCUAUGGGGUAGAAAAGUUGAAUUUCUGGGUCAUAGCAUAUAUGUAUGUGUGUUUUACCACUAGAAUAUACAGGCAAACAAUUUUCCAAAGUUUUUGAACUUAUUUAUACUCUUGCCAGAAAUGAAUAGAAGAUUAUAACGCUUCCGUUGUGCCAAAAUCUGGGAAUGUCUUUUUUUUUAAGUCAAGUUUACUGAGGUAUAAUUAAAACUCACCAGCGUUACAUGUUGUACGUGGUUCUCAGUGAUAUACUCUCUUUGCAAAGCUGGCUUUUGGUGGUAGCUUUGAUUUAAAAGCUAAUGCCACGUAAAAAAAUUCAAUACGUAGGGCCAGGCGAGGUGGCUCAUGCCUGUAAUUCUAGCACUUUGGAAGGAUGAGGUGGACGGAUCACUUGAGGUCAGGGGUUUGAGAUCAGCCUGGCCAAAAUGGUGAAACCCCAUUUCUACUAAAAAUACAAAAAUUAGCCAGGUGUGGUGGGGGGAACCUAUAGUCUCAGCUACUUGGGAGACUGAGGCAGGAGGAUCAUCUGAGCUCUGGAGGCUGAAGUUUCAGUGAGCUAUCAUUGCA